UUUUGAACUCGUUCCAAGAUCCCCACCCUCGUGUGCGCUAGGUUGCUAUUAAUGCAAAUGGGCAAUUGUCUACAAAUUUGGGGCCAAACCUUCAAGUUUAGUAUCAUUAACGAGUGUUGCAUGCAUUAGCCUCAGCUAUGGAUGAUUUCCAAAAUCCUUGAGUACAUGUGGUUGUUAAGCCCAACCGAGUCAUUGUGACACUGUCUAAAGCUUCAAAAGGGAAUUGGCUUGACUUGCACUUCAACGAAGAUAAGGAUAGCUAUAAGACCAGCCAUGCUUUAUGGGAUUAAAUGUUGGGCAGCCAAGGAAGAACGCAUUCAUAGGAUG